CCUACGGGUGGCAGCAGUGGGGAAUAUUGCACAAUGGGCGAAACCCUGAUCCAGCGACGCCGCGUGAGUGAAGACGUAUUUCGGUGUGUAAAGCUCUAUCUGCACGGGAGAAAAUGACGUUACCUGAUUCAGUAUCCCCGGCUAACUACGUGCCAGCCGCGGCGAUAAUACGUCGGGGGCAGGCGUUAUCCGGAUUUACUGGGUGUAAAGGGAGCGUAGACGGCAGCACAAGUCUGGAGUGAAAUGUCGGGGCUUAACCCCGGAACUGCUUUGGAAACUGUGCAGCUAGAGUGCAGGGGAGGUAAGUGGAAUUCCUAGUGUAGCGGUGAAAUGCGUAGAUAUGAGGAAGAACACCAGUGGCGAAGGCGGCUUACUGGACUGGAACUGACGUUGAGGCUCGAAAGCGUGGGGAGCAAACAGGAUUAGAUACCCGGGUAGUC
rnacentral:rRNA from 1 species